rnacentral:misc_RNA from 1 species
AUUGCACAACAAGCAUCUUCCUCAAGUGCCAAAUCUUUUGGAAAGCUUCCAAGUCAACCAGAAAAUCCAAGAGAGCAGUGUCAAGCUAUUACUUUAAGAAGUGGUAAAGUUAUAAAUGAUGAGAAGAGUGAAAACAGUGAGAAGAGAGAAAAUGAAAAAGGAACUGAUGAGAGUGAAAAACAAGAGAGUGCAGAAAAAUGUAAGGAGAAAUUUGAAGAAAAAGAAGAGAAAUAUAUACCUCCUGAACCCUACAAGCCACAACUUCCCUUUCCACAAAGAUUUCACAAAGCCAAGCUUGAUAGGCAAUUUGGGAAGUUCUUAGAGGUCUUGAAGAAGCUUUACAUAAAUGUGCCUUUUGUUGAUGCUCUUUCACAAAUGCCCUCUUAUGCAAAAUUCUUGAAAGAAAUUCUCUCAAACAAGAGGAGACUUGAAGAUCAUGAGACUGUAGCUUUAAUUGAGGAAUACAGUAUCAUCCUCCAAGGAAACUUCCCCCAAAGCUUAAGGAUCCAGGGAGU